UGAACUGCCGAAGAAAAGCUUCAUGACAGUCACUAAGCUUACUAGAUUCAACAUCAAGAUACUCCAAAUCUUUUCGUAUCGCCUUAUGAAAUUUGAAUAUUGUGUCAAUAGGAUGUACUUUAUGGUUGGGCUGAGAAGAGGUACAAUCUGUCUCCCAUGUAAAGAGGCUUGAAUCAAGAGUACUUUAUGAUUGGGUUGAGAAGAGGUACAAUCUGUCUCCCAUGUAAAGAGGCUUGAAUCAAGAGAAGGAGUGGUAGAGCUGAAGGUCAGCGAACAAAGAGAUUUUGGAGUGGAUAUAGUAGUUCGUCUCAGAUUAUUAUCACUGACUCCCAAUCCUGGGACACA
rnacentral:lncRNA from 1 species